GGGUCAGUAGGUUGGUCGUGCCACCGGUACGUACUGGUCUCACUGAUUCCUCCUUCCUGAAGAACCGUAAUGCCGUUAAUUUGGUGUUGCGGGGAAACAGGACUGUUACUUUGAAAAAAUUAGAGUGUUUAAAGCAAGCUAACGCUUGAAUACAUUAGCAUGGAAUAAUGAAAUAGGACGAUCGAUCCUAUUUUGCUGGUUUCUAGGAUUGACGUA
rnacentral:rRNA from 1 species